CUUAAAUGAAUUGACGGGGAGCACCACAACGGGUGGAGCUUGCGGUUUAAUUGGAUUCAACGCCGGAAAUCUUACCGGGACCGACAGCAAUAUGAAGGCCAGGCUGAAGACUUUGCCGGAUUAGCUGAGAGGUGGUGCAUGGCCGUCGUCAGUUCGUACUGUGAAGCAUCCUGUUAAGUCAGGCAACGAGCGAGACCCACGCCCACAGUUGCCAGCGUACUCUCUGGAGUGACGGGUACACUGUGGGACCGCCGCUGCUAAAGCGGAGGAAGGAAUGGGCAACGGUAGGUCAGUAUGCCCCGAAUAUCCCGGGCUACACGCGAGCUACAAUGGUUGGUACAAUGGGUAUCUACCCCGAAAGGGGACGGGAAUCUCCUAAAACCAAUCUUAGUUCGGAUUGAGGGCUGCAACUCGCCCUCAUGAAGCUGGAAUCCGUAGUAAUCGCGUUUCAACAGAACGCGGUGAAUACGUCCCUGCUCCUU
rnacentral:rRNA from 1 species